rnacentral:rRNA from 1 species
CGGAGCUGAAGUCAGUCGAAGAUACCAGCUGGCUGCAACUGUUUAUUAAAAACACAGCACUGUGCAAACACGAAAGUGGACGUAUACGGUGUGACGCCUGCCCGGUGCCGGAAGGUUAAUUGAUGGGGUCAGCGCAAGCGAAGCUCCUGAUCGAAGCCCCGGUAAACGGCGGCCGUAACUAUAACGGUCCUAAGGUAGCGAAAUUCCUUGUCGGGUAAGUUCCGACCUGCACGAAUGGCGUAAUGAUGGCCAGGCUGUCUCCACCCGAGACUCAGUGAAAUUGAACUCGCUGUGAAGAUGCAGUGUACCCGCGGCAAGACGGAAAGACCCCGUGAACCUUUACUAUAGCUUGACACUGAACAUUGAGCCUUGAUGUGUAGGAUAGGUGGGAGGCUUUGAAGCGUGGACGCCAGUCUGCGUGGAGCCGACCUUGAAAUACCACCCUUUAAUGUUUGAUGUUCUAACGUGGACCCGUGAUCCGGGUUGCGGACAGUGUCUGGUGGGUAGUUUGACUGGGGCGGUCUCCUCCUAAAGAGUAACGGAGGAGCACGAAGGUUGGCUAAUCCUGGUCGGACAUCAGGAGGUUAGUGCAAUGGCAUAAGCCAGCUUGACUGCGAGCGUGACGGCGCGAGCAGGUGCGAAAGCAGGUCAUAGUGAUCCGGUGGUUCUGAAUGGAAGGGCCAUCGCUCAACGGAUAAAAGGUACUCCGGGGAUAACAGGCUGAUACCGCCCAAGAGUUCAUAUCGACGGCGGUGUUUGGCACCUCGAUGUCGGCUCAUCACAUCCUGGGGCUGAAGUAGGUCCCAAGGGUAUGGCUGUUCGCCAUUUAAAGUGGUACGCGAGCUGGGUUUAGAACGUCGUGAGACAGUUCGGUCCCUAUCUGCCGUGGGCGCUGGAGAACUGAGGGGGGCUGCUCCUAGUACGAGAGGACCGGAGUGGACGCAUCACUGGUGUUCGGGUUGUCAUGCCAAUGGCACUGCCCGGUAGCUAAAUGCGGAAGAGAUAAGUGCUGAAAGCAUCUAAGCACGAAACUUGCCCCGAGAUGAGUUCUCCCUGAGACUUUAGGUCUCCUGAAGGAACGUUGAAGACGACGACGUUGAUAGGCCGGGUGUGUAAGCGCAGCGAUGCGUUGAGCUAACCGGUACUAAUGAACCGUGAGGCUUAACCUUACA